UAUAGAUAUCUUUUGUUAUGCAUUUUACUUUUUAACAUCUGCUCGACGAUUCUAUUAUUCAGUGAAAUUGUUAACUGUGUAUGCUUUUCGGUGGGCGCCAAAGAGGUAUCGUGCAUCGGGCGCCAAAAAGGUACCAUACCACGAAAGCCAAAAAGAUAUCAUGUCCCGGGCGCCAGUUAUGCUCUCUACGCCACUGGAUCUGGGGGCCAGGCAGUGCCCUCGUCAAGUCGAGCAAGCACGGCCGUACCAUCCUUUUCUGGAAGCAACUCAGGGUACUUUUCACACCUCCAUAUCUUUGUGUUGAAGUUGCCUAGGACCUUGAAAUUUUUUUUAUGUGGAGUGGUUGGCAAAUGGAGCGAGGACUCUAAAUUUCGCACUUCUAUCUUUUCUAGUUCGAAGGAUAUAU
rnacentral:lncRNA from 1 species